rnacentral:rRNA from 1 species
CAUCUGGAAAGAUGAAUCAAAGAAGGUAAUAAUCCUGUAGUCGAAAAUGUUGUCUCUCUUGAGUGGAUCCUGAGUACGACGGAGCACGUGAAAUUCCGUCGGAAUCUGGGAGGACCAUCUCCUAAGGCUAAAUACUCUCUAGUGACCGAUAGUGAACCAGUACCGUGAGGGAAAGGUGAAAAGCACCCCGGAAGGGGAGUGAAACAGAACCUGAAACCGUGUGCUUACAAGUAGUCAGAGCCCGUUAAUGGGUGAUGGCGUGCCUUUUGUAGAAUGAACCGGCGAGUUACGAUUUGAUGCAAGGUUAAGCAGUAAAUGUGGAGCCGUAGCGAAAGCGAGUCUGAAUAGGGCGUUUAGUAUUUGGUCGUAGACCCGAAACCAGGUGAUCUACCCUUGGUCAGGUUGAAGUUCAGGUAACACUGAAUGGAGGACCGAACCGACUUACGUUGAA